GUAGUGCCAUACAGCUUCAGGUGGACACCAUACUUCAUGGAGAUAGAUGGUGGCGGGGCAGCAAAAGCUUAAUCCUUUCCUCCUGGUUUUAUGUACAGGUUUUUCAUCCCAGAGGACUUUAUCCCAGAGAGAAGAGAAUUCAAAAGCUGCUCCAUUGCAGGGUUGGUGGUGGAUGGGAGUGGGACUGGGUUGUCUGUCUCAUGUCCAGAUAGUGACUCUGCUCGCUUCUCCCUGCCAGACUCCACCGGCAGCAUGAAUGGUGUGGACAUGCUCAAAGUGCACUGCAGCCACCCACACCUGAUAGUCCAGCUCAAGUUCUGCAAGCAGGAGAACUGCCGUCGGUUCCUGCGGAGUUACCGGGAAGGAGUGCUCCAGGAGUCCCUCAAGAAUCACCUCCAGCUCUUCUUGGCCAUCACCACAGUGCCUCUUGAAAUGGAGCUGAAGGCUGGCAACGAGCACCUCGACAACAUGCUGAAGGAUGAGGAUCGCUGCCUGGAGUGCAUCUACAGAGAAAAGCCUGACCGCCUGCGGGACGAGGAAAUCACAGAGCUGGAGGAAUGCCUCAAGAGCCUGAUUGUUCACCAGAGCUUCAACAACAAUAUUGCUGUAAAAGACUGCACGUCUCUGAACUCCCCAUCUCUACCUCAUCCUUCUCAAGGCAGAUCCGUUGUCCCACAAGUCACCUUCAUCUUUCAGGGACAACAGUUUGCCAACAGAACACUCACAGCAGAUGACCACCAGAAAUUUGCCAAGCUCGUGUCCAAGAAAUGGAAGCAAGUGGGUCGCUCUUUGCAGAAGAACUGCCGGGCCCUGCGUGAUCCCGUCAUCGAUAACCUGGCCCUCGAGUAUGACCGAGAGGGACUAUACGAACAAGCCUAUCAGCUGCUUCUCAGAUUUAUCCAGUCAGAGGGGAAGAAGGCCACAAUAGCGCGGCUGAUUGCAGCCCUGGAAGAAAAUGGUCUCAUCAGCUUGGCUGAAGAGCUCUUGGGCCUCCAUUCCAACGAGGACUACUCCUAGAGCCCAAAGGGUAGCAGCAUUGCUAAGGGCUUUCUUGCUUUAGCUGGUGUAUGAAACUGCUGCCAGUGCCUGGGAAUGUAAAGUCCUGAAAAUCGCCACAGGUUUCCAUGUAGAUGGGAAUGUCCAGGGGAGAGGUUCUUGUGUCAGAACGCAGAAACUUCUUGCAGAAGGCACGGACCUCUGACGUUCCUUAUUUCAUUCUGUUUCCUGAAGUCAGCGUUACCUUCGGGUGAACUGGUGAGAGAGGCUUUCAGCCUGACUUCCUUCAGGACUGAAAUGUCACAGGGAAACAGCUAGACAGGGAGCCCUAGGGGAGGGUGGGGGAGAGGAAGAAAUCUGCAAGGAAGGCAUCUCAGAGAAUUUCUCUGGGAAGCAGACAAUGCCACUGUUUCUCAGGCUGUGGUCCAGGGCCAUCACCUGGAGAGCUGCAAUAUAUUUUUUAUAUUGAAGACAUUUAUGCCCUUGGGCAUGACAUCAAGCAAAGACAGUGGGGAAAUUAAGGAAAAGUCAAUUUUAUAUUAUUUUCGUUAUUCAAAGGAGGAACAUAUGUGGCAAGUGCCUCUGCCCUGCCCUACCCUAGCAUAGGUCCUUCCCACCUCUCACCACCUGAAGGUUUCCCUUUUAUCUGGGACAGUCAUAAUCUUCCACAGGGCAAAAGACUGCUGCCAUAGAACAGAUUUCGGGCACUGAGCAAGCAAAAUGGACAAACACAAAUUCAGAGAACAAUUCCCAACUUUUUCUGGACUGUGGUGGACAAUAAUAUAUCGGCUACAUUGCACUUGGCUCUUUCCCCCCAGCCUGAGGGAGCCUGUGAAAAGCAAAACACAGCGCUGGAAGGAAAACUGUCUCCUAGUCAGCAAGUUACCUGUGGAGUGCAGGUUGGAACUGCUGCCCAAAGGUGUGUUGCAGCAUCAAAUGCCACCUUGACCCCAGCCCACAGAGCCGAGCAGUCGCCUCUGACCAGCUGGCUGCUAGUGCCUUCGCCGUCUUCUUCACUGCCUGCCCUCGGCCUGCCGAGUUCACUGGAGAAGAUAGCUCACGCCGUCGUGUCUCACAACACUGGGGAUUUGCACAGAGCCUCUCCCUGGCGACAUUGUCACUGUGUGACAAUCAGAUUCCCUCUCAAAAGUGCCAUUAAGUGCUGGAGCUCCUGGCAACCUUUCUGGAAUAUCAUCAUCUUUAACAGCAUUCACAGGUGCCUUCAUUGCAGAGACUCAAAGGAAAAGGGCUUUCCAGUGAUAUUCUAUGGUGGAAUUGUCUUGGGCACAUGGCAUGGUUUGGAACCAUAGCAGUGGCUGUUCCAUACCUUCUUUUCCAUAAUCGAUCAUCAUCAUCCUCCUCCUCCUCAUUAGAUGGAAUGAAAACUCGAUUCUGGCCUCAAGCGGACUCCUUCCUGCUAAAAGAGUAGGGUUUUUUAGUAUUAUCUGGCACAAACAUAGAUAAAGACAAUUUUCACAGAAGCCUUAGAAUGAAAUAGAUCAAUUGGGUCGUGAGUACACACUGUCCUUUGUAUUGAUUUGGUGUUUGCCUGGGACUUGACUCUGAAUUCACUUCUGUUCUACCCAGAAGACUUUACAGCGGUUUUACGCCAGCACAGAAAGACAAGGGAACUCACAUCACACAGGGAAGGACGAAGCACUCACAGAGGAAGAAAGGUCAGGAGAGAUCUGUUGAAGAAAUCGGAGGCGUCUUCACCUCAGGUAGUAAUGCAGUGAGUGGAACUAAAGGAGGAGCCAGGUGCUGGGGACGCACCAGAAACCCCGGGCCGCGUGCUAGACCGAGGGCUAUAACAGGGCCUCCCGGUGACUGCCUGGCUGUCACACUGUUGGAAGGGGAGCACACUCCUGCUUUCUUCCUUGUCUGUGCAAAGUUAGCUGCACACACACCGCACCUGACUCAGAUGCCAGACAUGCAAGCGGCGCUGCCUUACUACUAUUUAUACCGAUUAGCUAACGUCUAGCCUGUGAGAUAAGCCAUGGGCAGUGCUGCUGCUGGUGGACGUGGCCUUAUCCUGUAACAGCUCUUCUCUAUAUAGGGAGAUAUGUCUGGGGGAAAAAAAAAAAUGUGGGGAGGGUUGGUGGUUUCAGAAUCAAACAUGCAGCAAACCAGCACACGAUAUUAAAAGCAAAUAAAGAUGCUAAUCAGUUGCAUAUAAAAAAAUGAAACAGACAAAGUAUAAAACUCACACAGCAGAAACCAGACCAAAAUGCGCUUACAGGAAGGGAUCCAAGAGGGCUUUUUUGUGGUACAGAUUGUUUUUGUAGCUUUAGCGGUGUUUCACAUUUGAAGGAGGCUCCUUUCAGUCUGCCAGAAAGAAUAAAAGAUCCAUCCAAAGGAGAAUUUGAACGAUUUGUUUUGGCAUAGCUGAGCUACAGCAUUCAGAUGGGUAAUAACAAAAGAGGAGCAUGGAAGUUAAAAUGCUCACCAUGUGAGCAUUUGAUGUGAGGCAUCUGACAGAAGUAAACCUGAGAGUAUACCCUGCUAUAAAAGUGUCACGAGGGGAGAAUAUCAAACUGUCCUGGAGGGCAGAGCCAGCGAAAGGCCAACAUUGACCCUCUUAGCUGCCUGUUAAAAAUGCACCAUAAAUUAAUUCAUCUGCUGAAGACGACGAUGUGCCGUCACGGCAUGUAGGGAAGGUGCUCUCUUCCAGCAGCUUCAGUUCUCAUGUGCCACAAUUGCUUACAGCAGGAGCAGUUUGCCAGCUGAAAACAGUAUUUGAAACAAAAAUAAGGAAAAAAAAAAAAUCAGCAGUAUUGAUUGGAAGCACGUAAAAAUCAAUCACAAGCUGGACCUUAAAGAAAUCAAAAUUUUCUUCCAGAUUUGCGUAGCAAGUCUAAUUAAAAACAAAUGUCAACAGCUUGCAGCAGCACUUUCCACGUUUCCAUUUUCAGCCUCAGCCCUACCAUUGCAGAGAUGGGUAUCAUCUGGAUGAUUUUUAAUGCAAAAUGGGGUGCUAAUGUCACAGCACUGCAGGUUACAGAGCUUCCUGAAAAAAUUAGAGCCUCCAAGUAAAACAGUUUGCUGGAAUUUCAUAGCUGGGAAGUCUCAGAACUGUAUCAGUUUGAACAUUUGGGGAAAGCCGAUGCAGAAAAUAGAAUAUACUUUGCACCACUGUCAAGAUACAGAAAACCUAAGGCCAAGAAAGCGCGUAGGCUUAGAGCUGAGGGAAACCGCUUGUUGCGAGAAGGCGUAUGUGCGUGGUGUGGACGCAGCUCCAGGCAGAGGUCUUUUCCCAGUGUGAGGAAAUU